rnacentral:rRNA from 1 species
AGCUCCUAAAGUGUAUACUAACGUUGUUGCAGUUAAAAAGCUCGUAGUUGAACUAUUGGUGUGGGUGAAUGUUGGCCUUUGGAUGUAUUGUCCAUUGUUGUUGCUGCUUUACCUUGCCAUCUUGGAUUUUCUUCUUUAGGAGAUCCUCUUUCACUGUAAAAAAUUAGGGUGUUCCAAGCAGAUUGUAAUUGGUCGGAAUA